AGUGGUUGUCCGGGGUGUAGCCUGCCUUCCUGGGGAACACCCCUCUCUUCCAUUGCACAGCUUCCCCGGACAGAAAUAAAGUGUCAGGGGAGGCCGAGAAUGGAAAUAAGAGAGUGAAGAGGGAAAUCAGAGCGCGAGCUUUCAAUCACCUCUUUACCCUGCUCCCAAAUGGAAAGUGCUUUAUUCGUGCCUCCACUUUGGACGUUUGUAAAAGCAGAGAAUGACCAUCAGAGCGCACAAGCACAGUUUCAGCACUGUUGGUGUUAAGUGAUACUCUUGGGGAGAAGACAAAGCAAAGGGACUCACGUCACUUUUCCUGCCAAGCGAGGAAGAAUCAUUUUCUCCCAGAUCCAGGCAGCAUUUUCCUGUUCCUUUCUGUUGACAGCCAUUUGACUCC